rnacentral:rRNA from 1 species
AGAGUUUGAUCCUGGCUCAGGAUGAACGCUAGCGACAGGCUUAACACAUGCAAGUCGAGGGGCAGCACAGGUAGCAAUACCGGGUGGCGACCGGCGCACGGGUGAGUAACGCGUAUGCAACUUACCUAUCAGAGGGGGAUAACCCGGCGAAAGUCGGACUAAUACCGCAUGAAGCAGGGGCCCCGCAUGGGGAUAUUUGCUAAAGAUUCAUCGCUGAUAGAUAGGCAUGCGUUCCAUUAGGCAGUUGGCGGGGUAACGGCCCACCAAACCGACGAUGGAUAGGGGUUCUGAGAGGAAGGUCCCCCACAUUGGUACUGAGACACGGACCAAACUCCUACGGGAGGCAGCAGUGAGGAAUAUUGGUCAAUGGGCGUAAGCCUGAACCAGCCAAGUCGCGUGAGGGAUGAAGGUUCUAUGGAUCGUAAACCUCUUUUAUAAGGGAAUAAAGUGUGGGACGUGUCCCGUUUUGUAUGUACCUUAUGAAUAAGGAUCGGCUAACUCCGUGCCAGCAGCCGCGGUAAUACGGAGGAUCCGAGCGUUAUCCGGAUUUAUUGGGUUUAAAGGGUGCGUAGGCGGCCUUUUAAGUCAGCGGUGAAAGUCUGUGGCUCAACCAUAGAAUUGCCGUUGAAACUGGGAGGCUUGAGUAUGUUUGAGGCAGGCGGAAUGCGUGGUGUAGCGGUGAAAUGCUUAGAUAUCACGCAGAACCCCGAUUGCGAAGGCAGCCUGCCAAGCCAUGACUGACGCUGAUGCACGAAAGCGUGGGGAUCAAACAGGAUUAGAUACCCUGGUAGUCCACGCAGUAAACGAUGAUCACUAGCUGUUUGCGAUACAUUGUAAGCGGCACAGCGAAAGCGUUAAGUGAUCCACCUGGGGAGUACGCCGGCAACGGUGAAACUCAAAGGAAUUGACGGGGGCCCGCACAAGCGGAGGAACAUGUGGUUUAAUUCGAUGAUACGCGAGGAACCUUACCCGGGUUUGAACGCAUUCGGACCGAGGUGGAAACACCUUUUCUAGCAAUAGCCGUUUGCGAGGUGCUGCAUGGUUGUCGUCAGCUCGUGCCGUGAGGUGUCGGCUUAAGUGCCAUAACGAGCGCAACCCUUGCCACUAGUUACUAACAGGUAAAGCUGAGGACUCUGGUGGGACUGCCAGCGUAAGCUGCGAGGAAGGCGGGGAUGACGUCAAAUCAGCACGGCCCUUACAUCCGGGGCGACACACGUGUUACAAUGGCGUGGACAAAGGGAGGCCACCUGGCGACAGGGAGCGAAUCCCCAAACCACGUCUCAGUUCGGAUCGGAGUCUGCAACCCGACUCCGUGAAGCUGGAUUCGCUAGUAAUCGCGCAUCAGCCAUGGCGCGGUGAAUACGUUCCCGGGCCUUGUACACACCGCCCGUCAAGCCAUGGGAGCCGGGGGUACCUGAAGUCCGUAACCGAAAGGAUCGGCCUAGGGUAAAACUGGUGACUGGGGCUAAGUCGUAACAAGGUAACC